rnacentral:rRNA from 1 species
AUAAUACUAACGGCGUAAAGCACGACUAAUACUAGGUCUUAAUAUUAGGAGCGAAGCUAAACUGGGCUGUAAAAAGCCAUAAGUCGCACUAACCACCCUAAUAAUGAACAACUUCCACUCGUGAAAGCUAGGACACAAACUAAGAUUAGAUACCUUACUAUGCCUAACCAUAACACAACAAUCAAAUAACCCAUUGUUCGCCAAAUAACUACGAGUAAAAACUUAAAAUUUAAAAGACUUGACGGUACCUCAAAACAACCUAGAGGAGCCUGUCUAAUAACCGAUACCCCACGAUCAACCCAACCCCCUCUAGCCUAACAGUCUAUAUACCGCCGUCGCCAGCCUACCUUGUGAAAGAAACAAAGUGAGCCAAACAGCCCCCACUAACACGACAGGUCGAGGUGUAACUUAUGAGCGGGUCUAAGAUGGGCUACAUUUUCUAACAUAGAAAAUACGAAUUAUUCCAUGAAAUAAGAAACUGAAGGCGGAUUUAGCAGUAUGCCGGGAACAACAUACCCAGCCGAAAUCAGCGCAAUGAGGUGCGUACACACCGCCCGUCAUCCCUGUUAACACACUAAAAACAUACAUAAC